GCUUCAAUGGUGUAGUGGCUAUCACGUGUCCUUCACACGGACAAGGUCCUCGGUUCGAUCCCGAGUUGAAGCA